CAGGGCCGUGCUCCGGCCCCCAGGGCCGCCCACGCCAGCGCCACCAUCGGAGGCAGAGGAUACAUCUGUGGAGGCCGAGUCAUGGAAACAAGGACUAGUGACAUUCACUGCCUGGACUUUGAAUCGUGGACAUGGACUGAAAUAGUCCCAGCGUCCUCCACUCCAGUGGGCAGAUCGUGGCACACGCUCACCGCCGUGUCAGACAGCAGCUUGUUCCUGUUCGGAGGUCUCAGUGUCGACUGCAAACCAAUAAGU